rnacentral:rRNA from 1 species
UUGAACGCUGGCGGCAGGCCUAACACAUGCAAGUCGAGCGGAUGAAGGGAGCUUGCUCCUGGAUUCAGCGGCGGACGGGUGAGUAAUGCCUAGGAAUCUGCCUGGUAGUGGGGGAUAACGUCCGGAAACGGGCGCUAAUACCGCAUACGUCCUGAGGGAGAAAGUGGGGGAUCUUCGGACCUCACGCUAUCAGAUGAGCCUAGGUCGGAUUAGCUAGUUGGUGGGGUAAAGGCCUACCAAGGCGACGAUCCGUAACUGGUCUGAGAGGAUGAUCAGUCACACUGGAACUGAGACACGGUCCAGACUCCUACGGGAGGCUGCAGUGGGGAAUAUUGGACAAUGGGCGAAAGCCUGAUCCAGCCAUGCCGCGUGUGUGAAGAAGGUCUUCGGAUUGUAAAGCACUUUAAGUUGGGAGGAAGGGCAGUAAGUUAAUACCUUGCUGUUUUGACGUUACCAACAGAAUAAGCACCGGCUAACUUCGUG